rnacentral:lncRNA from 1 species
AUAAGAUAGUAGUGGGGGAAGAUGCAGGGCUGAUUCUGGGAAGUGAUGGGGCGGGACUGGUCUUUUAGGUGCACUGCCGGGCGAUUGUUGUGAAGUGUGGGGAAGUGUUGGGUGAGAGGAAUCAGAAGGAGGAAAGGGAAGUCAACAGUUGAUGUAUUGAUGGCAUACAAGCCGUGUGCAGUGCUGAAGCGGUCGCCAGCAGGAUUUAAAUGGGCGGUGAGCGGAGACUAGUGAAGGUGAGGACAGGGUGUUUACGCGAAUAGAGGACAUUCUGAUGGGAGAAUUGGCGCAGCUUGAAGGCUGGUGCAGGGACGAAACAGGCAGACGGCGCACGCUGUGCAGCAGGCAUCACAGGGAAGCGCAUGACAUUAGUCCGCAUGUUUAGCUACUGCAUGUCCAGCU